AAGGGCAAGUCUUACACGACCAGCUCCUGGUGAACUCCCCCAGGUCAGGAAUGAAGCAAGGGUAGCCGGUCGUAGCGGUGCGAUGUAAGUAGCUUGCCCU
rnacentral:SRP_RNA from 1 species